rnacentral:rRNA from 1 species
AGAGUUUGAUCCUGGCUCAGGAUGAACGCUAGCGGCAGGCUUAACACAUGCAAGUCGAGGGGUAUAAGUCUUCGGAUUUAGAGACCGGCGCACGGGUGCGUAACGCGUAUGCAAUCUACCUUUUACAGAGGGAUAGCCCAGAGAAAUUUGGAUUAAUACCUCAUAGUAUUACACAAUGGCAUCAUUGAGUAAUUAAAGUCACAACGGUAAAAGAUGAGCAUGCGUCCCAUUAGCUAGUUGGUAAGGUAACGGCUUACCAAGGCUACGAUGGGUAGGGGUCCUGAGAGGGAGAUCCCCCACACUGGUACUGAGACACGGACCAGACUCCUACGGGAGGCAGCAGUGAGGAAUAUUGGUCAAUGGGCGCAAGCCUGAACCAGCCAUGCCGCGUGCAGGAUGACGGUCCUAUGGAUUGUAAACUGCUUUUGUACGGGAAGAAACAGCGAUUCGUGAAUCGCCUUGACGGUACCGUAAGAAUAAGGAUCGGCUGACUCCGUGCCAGCAGCCGCGGUAAUACGGAGGAUCCAAGCGUUAUCCGGAAUCAUUGGGUUUAAAGGGUCCGUAGGCGGUUUAGUAAGUCAGUGGUGAAAGCCCAUCGCUCAACGGUGGAACGGCCAUUGAUACUGCUAGACUUGAAUUAUUGGGAAGUAACUAGAAUAUGUAGUGUAGCGGUGAAAUGCUUAGAGAUUACAUGGAAUACCAAUUGCGAAGGCAGGUUACUACCAAUGGAUUGACGCUGAUGGACGAAAGCGUGGGUAGCGAACAGGAUUAGAUACCCUGGUAGUCCACGCCGUAAACGAUGGAUGCUAGCCGUUGGCAGGCUUGCCUGUCAGUGGCGCAGCUAACGCAUUAAGCAUCCCGCCUGGGGAGUACGGUCGCAAGAUUAAAACUCAAAGGAAUUGACGGGGGCCCGCACAAGCGGUGGAGCAUGUGGUUCAAUUCGAAGCAACGCACAGAACCUUACCAACCUUUGACAUGUCCCGUAUGAGCAACAGAGAUGUAGCUCUUCAGUUCGGCUGGCGGGAACACAGGUGCUGCAUGGCUGUCGUCAGCUCGUGUCGUGAGAUGUUGGGUUAAGUCCCGCAACGAGCGCAACCCUCGCCCUUAGUUGCCAUCAUUCAGUUGGGCACUCUAAGGGGACUGCCGGUGAUAAGCCGCGAGGAAGGUGGGGAUGACGUCAAGUCCUCAUGGCCCUUACAGGUUGGGCUACACACGUGCUACAAUGGCGGUGACAAUGGGAUGCAAUGGAGCGAUCCUGCGCAAAUCUCAAAAAGCCGUCUCAGUUCGGAUUGCACUCUGCAACUCGAGUGCAUGAAGUUGGAAUCGCUAGUAAUCGCAGAUCAGCACGCUGCGGUGAAUACGUUCCCGGGCCUUGUACACACCGCCCGUCACACCAUGGGAGUUGGUUUUACCUGAAGGCGGUGCGCUAACCCGCAAGGGAGGCAG